GAUAUUUCCUCUUUACUCAUCACUACUCGGCUGGUAAACAAAUUGGUGUUGAACACAGUGCAUCAAUCGCUACCACAAGCCAUGCCUGUGUGAAUGAACCUGAGACAACGAUUGAUCUUCCUUCAAUCCACCGUGAUUGUUCAGACGCAGAGCGUGCACAAGAGAAUAGAGCCCGAAAAAAAGCGAAGAUCCAAUCAGCAGAUUCAAUAAUGGAAGAAUCUACAAAUCCUGAGGAAUCUUCAAAUGCAAUUCCUGUACAAGUUGAUGUCCAUCAUCGGCAUUAUUCACAACACAGUGCAUCAAUCGCUACCACAAGCCAUGACUGUGUAAAUGAACCUGAAACAACGAGUGGUCUUCCUUUAAUCCACCGUGAUUAUCCAAAAAGAGCUGCACAGCGAAUGGCAGAGUAUAGAGCUCGGAAAAACAAGAAAACUCCAAUAGUGAAUCAACGAAAACAUAAGAAAUCAGACGCAGAGCGUGCAAAAGAGUAUAGAGCCCGAAAAAAAGCGAAGAUCAAAUCAGCAGAAUCCACAAAUCCUGAGGAAUCUUCAAAUGCAAUUACUGCACAAGUUGAUGUCCAUCAUCGGCAUAAUUCACAACUCAGUGCAUCAAUCGCUACCACAAGCCAUGCCUGUGUGAAUGAACCUGAAACAACGAUUGAUCUUCCUUCAAUCCACCGUGAUUGUUCAGACGCAGAGCGUGCAAAAGAGUAUAGAGCCCGAAAAAAAGCGAAGAUCCAAUCAGCAGAAUCCACAAAUCCUGAGGAAUCUUCAAAUGCAAUUACUGCACAAGUUGAUGUCCAUCAUCGGCAUAAUUCACAACUCAGUGCAUCAAUCGCUACCACAAGCCAUGACUGUGUGAAUGAACCUGAAACAACGAGUGGUCUUCCUUUAAUCCACCGUGAUUAUCCAAAAAGAGCUGCACAGCGAAUGGCAGAGUAUAGAGCUCGGAAAAACAAGAAAACUCCAAUAGUGAAUCAACGAAAACAUAAGAAAUCAGACGCAGAGCGUGCAAAAGAGUAUAGAGCCCGAAAAAAAGCGAAGAUCCAAUCAGCAGUUCUUUUUAGAUUCAAUUAUGGAAGAAUCCACAAAUCCUGAGGAAUCUUCAAAUGCAAUUACUGUACAAGUUGAUGUCCAUCAUCGGCAUUAUUCACAACUCAGUGCAUCAAUCGCUACCACAAGCCAUGACUGUGUGAAUGAACCUGAAACAACGAGUGGUCUUCCUUUAAUCCACCGUGAUUAUCCAAAAAGAGCUGCACAGCGAAUGGCAGAGUAUAGAGCUCGGAAAAACAAGAAAACUCCAAUAGUGAAUCAACGAAAACAUAAGAAAUCAGACGCAGAGCGUGCAAAAGAGUAUAGAGCCCGAAAAAAAGCGAAGAUCCAAUCAGCAGAUUCAAUUAUGGAAGAAUCCACAAAUCCUGAGGAAUCUUCAAAUGCAAUUACUGUACAAGUUGAUGUCCAUCAUCGGCAUUAUUCACAACUCAGUGCAUCAAUCGCUACCACAAGCCAUGACUGUGUGAAUGAACCUGAAACAACGAGUGAUCUUGCUUCAAUCCACCGUGAUUAUCCAAAAAGAGCUGCACAGCGAAUGGCAGAGCAUAGAGCUCGGAAAAAAAGGAAACUCCAAAAGUGAAAAAAAAGUGAAUUAUUGAAAACAUAAUAAAUCAGACGCAGAGCGGGCAAAAGAGUAUAGAGCCCGAAAGAAAGCGAAGAUCCAAGAACACACACAACUAUCAGAGCAUGAAACUAAUCAUCUUGCUUACACGGAUUUUCAUCGUCAUCAUCUGGCUCAUGAUGAAUUUCAAAAGAAAUUUGUUCGAAAUUCAUUUGGUUAUGUGUGCUCAGUUUGUGAAAGACUGUGGUUUAAAGAUGACUUACGAUCUGCAUCCCUUAACCCGCAUCCGUUCUAUGUAUCAAUUUGAUACAAACUUUAACUUAAGAUGUAGACUUAGGCGAAAUGGAUUCUUAUAUGGAUUUGUGAUUUUGGCUCAAGUUUUGUCUUUAAAAAAUUCAUGUAAAGCAUUUUUUGUUCAAAAUAAACAAACGUUCAUAA